UCAAUAUCCUCUUUUCUAUGCAUUUGUAUUCUUCACUUUAUUUCAUUUUCAUUUUUUUUUUGUUGAAUUCGGGGAAAAUAUUCAAUGUUUAGAGUAUGUUGAUAUUUAGCUUAAUUUUAUGAUAAAAUUGAUUUUGUUGUGGUUCUAUCUGUGGUCCUAAUUGACCAUAUACAUUGAGAUGUAUCAUGUAUGUGCUUGAGUAUGUUCACAAGAGACUGAAUUGUUGAAGGAAGAGAAUUAAUUCGAUCUGUAAUUAGAGCUAGAUGAUCCGAUUCUUUCUCCAAUAUUCUCUUCUUCAAGCUUCUCGAGUAUUCGUUGCUUCCAUCUCUCUUCUUAUUCUUCUCCAAUCUCUCUUUCUGCUUUCUUUAUCUUUCACAUUAGUAAGGUUGUCUUUGGCAGCAGUAUUUUGAUUAAAUUGGGUGACUAAGACCCACGCUUGGUUGCUUGGGCUAUUAAUCAGAAUCCAUUUACUACAGUAAUUGGUCAUGAUAGAUGCCAUGCAAAAAGAUGAAUUAUAAGCAAAUAGAACUCUUAAAAUCAAAACUUUAACAGAAAGUAUUACCAUUAUCACGAAUGAAUCUUACCCUGUUACCAUGUAGCCAUCUAUACGUAAAAACUUGUUAUUAGAAAAGUUAAGUCUUUGAAAACCCUGUCAACUCAUUCAAGUAUAUUGGUACAUGUAGCUGUAGCCACAAAGCUGUAGAUUAAGGAUUACUGCCUCAUUCUUCUGACAGUUCUUGUUCCUUUUACCGAGUCCAAAAUGGCAAUUUUACUCUCCAUGGGAUAUGGCCCAAUAUGUAGGAUGAAAAGCUAACCACUAAUCCAAUCUCUUAACUUCCAUUCCAUCCCAUAGGUUGGGCCAAUACGAUGGAUUGUGAAAUCGACACUUGGUUGGGUAGUUUGUGUGGACAUGGGGGAAUACCAUUACCAUUGGAGGGCCAAUAGUUUUAGAACAAAGAGUUGGAGUUUGAGCCAAAAGAAGAUUUUGG
rnacentral:lncRNA from 1 species